rnacentral:rRNA from 1 species
UAACCUGCCCAAGAGAUCGGGAUAACACCUGGAAACAGAUGCUAAUACCGGAUAACAACAGAUGAUGCCUAUCAACUGUUUAAAAGAUGGUUCUGCUAUCACUCUUGGAUGGACCUGCGGUGCAUUAGCUAGUUGGUAGGGUAACGGCCUACCAAGGCGAUGAUGCAUAGACGAGUUGAGAGACUGAUCGGCCACAUUGGGACUGAGACACGGCCCAAACUCCUACGGGAGGCAGCAGCC